UGGUGUACGCCCAUAAUCCGGGCGGAUUCGAUUUCGAAAGAAGUUCCGGAGCCGUGAACGUCGAGAUCACGUGCGGCGACUCCGUGUCCACCGUCAGAGAGACGCUGAUUGUGAACAUCAUCAAUACGGCACCGGUGAUAACUAAUCCUGGGGGCUCCAGUGACGUCGCCGAGAACGUCAGCGGAACGUUGACGUUAAAGACAUUGGAUUUUGUUACUUUCGAUAAGUCUGAUGCCACCUGCUCAAUGACGAGCGCUGACGGAGUACCAUUCGCCCUCACUGGCAACCAAAUCGUUAAGACGGCUGGAGCUCUGGACUUUGAGACAAAGGCGACGUAUAUUCUUGACGUCACAUGCACUUACGGCCUUCUUCAAACCACGGAUACUUACGUUGUCAAAGUCCAAAACGUCGUGAAUAACGUUGAUAUUUACGUCGGUCCAUAGAUGAGUUUGCCGACGGCGUCAACUCUGAACGAGCGGCAGACUGCGGAAAAGCAACUCACGACGUUGACGUUAACGGAGGACGCGGCUGACUGCGUUCAGACGUCACCGACGUACGAUGAAUUUAACGUCAAAUACGAACCCGCCACAGACGUAUGGGUGAUCUACUAGGUCAGCGAGACGGUGGCGGGGCGGUCGCUUAGCUACGACACGAACCCCUUAUACAACCUGCACAUUCAGUGCAGCGACGCCGCGGGAGCCAAAGGGGCCGAGAAGAUUUUCACCGUACAUAUUAACGACAACAAAGCGCCAACGAUCGACAACCUUAGCAGGUCGCCCAUCACGAAACUUAGCCUCGUCGCUAGAGACUUCAGCGCUACCGACACCGUGUUUAUCGCAACCGGAAGUGACGUGGAAAACGAUAACGUAAUCUUCA